GCCCGUGUGGCUCAGUGGUAGAGUGUUGGCCCACAAACCGAAGGGUCAUGGGUUUGAUUCUCAGUCAAAGGCA
rfam:Myotis lucifugus cont2.50847, whole genome shotgun sequence.